AGAGUUUGAUCCUGGCUCAGGAUGAACGCUGGCGGCGUGCCUAACACAUGCAAGUCGAGCGAAGCGCUGUUUGCAUACUCUUCCGAGGAAGAGGAUUGUGACUGAGCGGGGGAAGGGUGAAUUACCCGUGGGCCACCCGGCUCUUACAAGGGGAUUACCGUUAGAAAUGACUGGUUAUUCCCCAUAAACACUCCGGACCCCCUGGAGUCGUGGGAAAAACGCCCGUGGCAUGAAAUGGACGCCUCUCUGAUUAUGAAAUUGGUGGGGAGGAGGCCGAUCACCCCGACGAUCAUCAGCCGACCGACUGAGGGGACGAGCCGCCUCGUUGCUGCUGAGACGCCGCCCCUACUCCUGCAGGAGGCAGCGGGGAGGAAUGUUGCACGGGGGACACACUGCUGAUGCGACACCGCCUCGUGGAGGAAGACUUGUUUGCAUGAUUGUCUUCCUCUGUUUUGGGAGACAAAGACAUGACGGUACCUGAGUAAGAAGCCCCGGCUAAAUACGUGCCAGCAGCCGCGGUAAUACGUAGGGGGCAAGCGUUAUCCGGAUUUACUGGGUGUAAAGGGAGCGCAGACGGAUUGGCAAGUCAGGAGUGAAAACCCAGGGCUCAACCCAUGGACUGCUUUGGAAACUGCAGAUCUGGAGUGCAGGAGAGGCAAGCGGAAUUCCUAGUGUAGCGGUGAAAUGCGUAGAUAUUAGGAGGAACACCAGUGGCGAAGGCGGCUUGCUGGACUGUAACUGACACUGAGGCUCGAAAGCGUGGGGAGCAAACAGGAUUAGAUACCCUGGUAGUCCACACCGUAAACGAUGAAUACUAGGUGUGGGGGCUGUAUCACCCCUCGGUGCCGCGAGCUAACGCAGUAAGUAUUCACUCCUGGGGAGUACGUUGGCAAGCAAUGAUACUCAAUAAGAAUAGACGGGGACCCGCACACAGCAGGUCAGAGCGAUGUGGUUUAAUUAGUAGCAACGAGAAGAACCUUCCCAGGUCUUGACAUCCUUCUGACCGCACAUAAAUAGAUAUUUUCGUUCCCGACAGAAGAAACAGGUGGCACAUGGUGGUUGUCAGUUUGCAUCUUGAGAUGUGGGAUUAAGUCCUGCAUCGAGCGCAGCCCGCAUCUCCAGUCGCCAGCAGGUAAGCAUGGGCACUCUGGAGAGACUGCCACGGACAACGUGGAGGAAGGUGGGGACGACGUCAAAUCAUCAUGCCCCUUAUGAUCUGGGCGACACACGUGAUACAAUGGUGCGUCACCGAAUGAAGGGAACCCCGGAGGGCGAACCAACACCCACAAAAGACCGAUCCUCAGUUCGUGAUUGCAGUCUGCAACCCGCCUACACGAAGCUGGAAUCGCUAGUAAUCGCGAAUCAGCAUGUCGCGGUGAAUACGUUCCCGGGCCUUGCACACACCGCCCGUCA
rnacentral:rRNA from 1 species